rnacentral:rRNA from 1 species
GUGAAAUUGUUGAAAGGGAAACGCUUGAAGUCAGUCAUGUCGUCCAGGGAUCAACCUUGCUUUUGCUUGGUGCACUUUCUGGUUUGACAGGUCAGCAUCAAUUUUGACCAUUGGAAAAAGGCUAAGGGAAUGUGGCAUCUUUGGAUGUGUUAUAGCCCUUGGUCGCAUACAAUGGUUGGGAUUGAGGAACUCAGCACGCCGAAAGGCCGGGUUUUAAACCACGUUCGUGCUUAGGAUGCUGGCAAUAUGGCUUUAAUCGACCCGUCUUGAAACACGGACCAAGGAGUCUAACAUGCCUGCGAGUGUUUGGGUGGAAAACCCGAGCGCGUAAUGAAAGUGAAAAGUUGAGAUCCCUGUCGUGGGGAGCAUCGACGCCCGGACCAGACCUUUUGUGACGGUUCCGCGGUAGAGCAUGUAUGUUGGGACCCGAAAGAUGGUGAACUAUGCCUGAAUAGGGUGAAUCCAGAGGAAACUCUGGUAGAGGCUCGUAGCGAUUCUGACGUGCAAAUCGAUCGUCAAAUUUGGGUAUAGGGGCGAAAGACUAAUCGAACCAUCUAGUAGCUGGUUCCUGCCGAAGUUUCCCUCAGGAUAGCAGAAACUCAUAUCAGAUUUAUGUGGUAAAGCGAAUGAUUAGAGGCCUUGGGGUUGAAACAACCUUAACCUAUUCUCAAACUUUAAAUAUGUAAGAACAAGCCGUCUCCUGAUUGGACCGCUUGGCGAUUGAGAGUUUCUAGUGGGCCAUUUUUGGUAAGCAGAACUGGCGAUGCGGGAUGAACCGAACGCGAGGUUAAGGUGCCGGAAUUCACGCUCAUCAGACACCACAAAAG